CCUAGGCUACAGGUCUAACGAGGAGAUUUAUCAGGACUAUUUGGUACUAGCAACUGCAAAGCCCUGCAAAGAGCUAAAUGAGGAUGUGUCUGCAGAUCUUCAGGAAAGAUUUCACCUGGGGAUUUUCACAGGUAGGGCUGCCUUGUAUAGAAUGAUUGAAACUGAAGGAAUGAUUGAAACUUGAAAAAUGGCCACCCAGAGUUUUUUCACCAGUUCAUGCUUUGGAAAGGAGAUCUAAAGGGUAUUUUCCAAACAGUACAGAAAGAAGGGAGCUGAAAAAAAAAUCUGUGGCUAUGGCACCAACAGCUUGCUACCAUGUAUGCUAUGGGCUGUAGAAGCCUUUGCCAAACAGUUGUGUUUUCAGGAUCAGUAUCAAGGCUGCCUCUCAUCUACUUUCACAAAGUGUAUGAAGCUGUGGAGCUGCUCAAGUCAAACCAUUUUUACAGGGAAGCUAUUGCAGUUGCCAAUGCCUGGUUAUACCCAGAGGAUCCGAUCCUGAAGGACCAGUAUCUCAUCUGGGGAUCCAUCUAGAAAGAGAUGGCCAUUAUGCCAUAGCAGCCAAAUGCUAUU
rnacentral:lncRNA from 1 species